rfam:Sorghum bicolor cultivar BTx623 chromosome 7, whole genome shotgun sequence.
UUCCAUGAUGAGGAUAAUCUUGAAUGUAUCAUUGCAAAUGCUCCCAUGCUUCUAAAAUGGUUUAUGUCUUUUGCUAUUGAAAGUUGGUAAUCUUUCCUCUUAAGGCA